GAUGAACGCUGGCGGCGUGCCUAAUACAUGCAAGUCGAGCGAACAGACGAGGAGCUUGCUCCUUCGACGUUAGCGGCGGACGGGUGAGUAACACGUAGGUAACCUACCUAUAAGACUGGGAUAACUUCGGGAAACCGGAGCUAAUACCGGAUAAUAUUUCGAACCGCAUGGUUCGAUAGUGAAAGAUGGCUUUGCUAUCACUUAUAGAUGGACCUGCGCCGUAUUAGCUAGUUGGUAAGGUAACGGCUUACCAAGGCAACGAUACGUAGCCGACCUGAGAGGGUGAUAGGCCACACUGGAACUGAGCCACGGUCCCGACUCCUACGGGAGGCAGCAGUAGGGAAUCCUCCGCAAUGGGCGGAAGCCUGACGGAGCAACGCCGCGUGAGUGAUGAAGGUCUUCGGAUCGUAAAACUCUGUUAUUAGGGAAGAACAAACGUGUAAGUAACUGUGCACGUCUUGACGGUACCUAAUCAGAAAGCCACGGCUAACUACGUG
rnacentral:rRNA from 1 species